GAAAAUACAAUGUUAUGAGUACGACAAUCUGGUAACGUUGGGCGACACAAGACAGGACACAAGAAGAGGAGGAGGAAGAGCUGUCAUCUGUCAUGGCGCGUACAGUUUGACUCCCGUGCACCAGGCAGCCAUAUCUUGUACGCUUUCCAAGACACCACCGCGCCACAGGGACGUGAGGACCAUGGGCUAGGAUAAGGGUGGCUGGACGAGCAGAUACACACAUCAUUCGCUGCCGUGAGGACACACCCGUCUCACCUUUGGCAAGACCUGGGAUGAUCUGUUUCUGGACACAACUUCUUGGACCUUGUGACCAGGAAGAGCAAGGGGCACUGACCAAUGAGAUAAGUCUAUGCAUCAUACAAGCUGUUAGAGCACUGAGGGCGUGUGUUGGCUGUGAGCUGAGGAUAUGACAUCACCCUAAUACGUGCAUGAUUCUGGCCCAAAGUAAUGGUGGAACAGGCAUAUCUUUUUAAUUUUUAUUCUUUUUGCAAGGGUUUAUAUAGACUUGCAUGUGUUGGUCUUCUUCCAUUCCCCAUAAUCCUUAGUAGCCUUGAAUUCAUGCCCAGGGUUUGCCAUGGAUCUUUGCUCUACCUCCGUCAGCUUGUUUUAUCGAUAGCCAACUCAAUCAUUUUUACACAGAGAGAAAGACAGACUGAGAAUGUUAAAUGUAAAAGAGCGGAACAGCUGGGUGUCAUAAGCCAGUAUUGUCAAACUCCUUCGCCUCUCACAUAAAUUAUUUUCAAAGGUCAAAAUGGAGAUAAGUUUGGUUCUAAUGAGUGCUAUUUAGAUUCUUGGUACAGAGGAAGGAUCAAAUGACCACCAGGGUCAUUAAACUACCUCAGGAAACGCCCAAAAUCCUAUGAAAGGCUUGUCAAAGAUGCGUACUUGGGCGAUGAAAUGCUGCCAAGUGUUACCAAGGUGGGUUGUGUAGCAGUAAUGGUGGGAACAUCCUUGUUUUGAAAGUCUCCAUACGUACUUGCUUGUGUCGGCCUUGUUCUGUUAUUGGUGGCACUGCAUUCUGCUCAGUAUACCAUCCUCUCUCCAGGCCCAAGAUCCAUAGGUCAUAUACUACUACUUUGUCAUAAGUCUUGUCCACCUUUAUUAAUAUCUAUUUAAUGAUUUUUAUGUAGGUUGCUUUCAGAUUUGUUUGUAUUGUGCGUGCUAAUGAUUUGGGUGUUUCCAGGCGUGUGGCGGCAAUGGGGUGCCAGCCAGGCCGUUGUGACGGUGCUCAUCAUUAGUGUAUGCCAGGCACCUGACCAGGGCGUUGGUGACACAAAUCAGUGCCCUUCCCUUUCGUAUUGUUUGUGCCAGUGCAAUCUGCUGUCCCUCGCCCAUCAGAGUGAUGUCAUGUCCUCCAGCACACGGUCAUCACACACCUUCAGUGCUCCUGUUGCUUGCACGGUGUCCCCUCACUCACUGGUCACCAGGUGCUCUGGCUGUGGGGCUCACCCAGUCCCAUACACAGCUCUUAUAAAACAGAUUUGCUUCAUGUUUGAGUAGUUCAAUAAUGUAUGCCAUUGUUUCAAGUGUGAGACUUAUUUUCACCCAUAAUUAAAGUAGUGACCUUAAAGCCAGAGCAACUUGUGACCAGGAAGAGGAAGGGGCUCUGACCAAUGAGACAAGUCUGUGCACCAUACAAGCUAUUAGAGCACUGAGGGCAUGUGUUGGCUGUGAGCUGAGGACAUGACAUCACCCUAAUGAGUGCAUGGUGCUGGCACAAUGCACGGCCAAAAGAAAAUGAACAUAUGGUCAGGUGCAUGGUGGACCUUAAUUAUGAGCUCCGUUCAUCCCAUCUGUACUCUCCCCCCACUGUACUGUACUUCCCUGUACAGUAUACAGCAGAUUAAGGCCGGCAUCAACAAAUACUAUUACUGAUGAUCCUUUUCGUCUUAACACAGAAACAGAAUAGUCCAAGGAUGAUCCACCCCAAACAGAUGACAGACAAGCCCUCGCCAUCUGCUUUUGUCAAGUCUGUAUCAAUGUCAUAGUCUACACAACAUUACUAUGCAGGAACACUUGAGCAUCCCAGAGAGUGCUGCUUCUCAGCUGACCAAUGGGACUUGAUGACACUUUCUCAGUUUUCUUGUUUAUUUUGUUUCAAACAGGAGGCAGCGAAAAUAUAAUGUCAGCCUUUCUUAACAUCUAAAACACGUUCACUGUCACGUAAUAUUUAUUAUAAUAGUUAUAAAAGAGAGUAAAGCUAAUAUAUAUAUAUAUAUAUAUAUAUGAACAUACAUAUGGAUUUUGCAACAUUAAAGUAGUAAUCUCAAGUCAGUUUAGAUUAGAGCUUAAAUAGGUCAGUAAAGAGUAGUGAGUAUGUUUUGUGGUAUAACAAUCAACAAGAGCUGGGUGGUCAUCACACUGGGACCACACGGCUGGGCAGCAGCCUGGCGGGGAGGCUGAGUGGAGGUGUGCAGCAGCCCUGGCUUGUGCAUAAGCAUUGCAGUGUUGGCUGGCUCGUUACUCCAGGCUUAAUAUGAACAGGGUGGUUGAGAAUCCUUUACAAAGUAGAGCACCACGACAACCUACCUCCAGCCAGACAGCAAACGCUCACUUAAUAUUCUAUCACUGCUCUCACCUCACUCUCAACACGACCAAGGCUCAAAUCAGAACCACAGCAACAAUGAACCCUGACGUACACUUGCACACAAAACAAUUGAUCCACCUCACUCUAAUCUCAUUGCAGGGACUCAGUGGCCCUGUUUGGCAUCUCCCAUCUAGCAACUCAUCUCCAAUCUCCCCUCACCCCCAUGUGGCACUGUGCAGAAAGGGAGCACUGAGGCUAGAGCCAGGUGGAUCGGUGUGCCUGGCCGGAGUCAUGCCAAAGUAACACUCCUCAGGAAGGUGUACAAACAAGGCUCUGUAACACAUGUGGCAGUACAGCAGCAGGGAACUGUUGCUGAUGUACUUUGAUGAGCCAAGCCACAUGUGUGAUGACAGGACUGGCCAUUUUGUGAUACAUAUGACAAGAUACACACAGAACACAUGAUAAAGUACCACAAAUUCUUAUUUAAAAAAAUAGCCAGAUUUUAAGGUAUAGGGAAGAUACAUGACUGUCCCUCUUGAGAUACAUGAUAACACAUCAUAAACAAAUUCUUAUAUAAAAAAUAGCCUGAUUUAAAGGUAUGAAGUACAAGGAAGAUACAUGACUGUCCCUCUCGAGAUACAUAACACAACACAUCGUAAAUCAAUACAAACACAUGUGAGAAUUGCCGUUUUAGAAUCUAGAAUUGUAGAUGAAGUCCAGGGCUGUCAGUGGCCUCUAUCAUGAACACUAAAAUGAAGCUCACACACACAACCAAACACCUGCCAUUGAUCAAACUUAUAACCACUAAAGCAUCAUUUUAAGUUACAUGACUAAACGAGAUUCGAACACAACAUCGUAGGGCUGUCACCACCAUCAUUGUUAGUGGAGUGCCGUAUCCCACAGGAAGUCAGCUGCCAUGGAAAACCACCAGUCUGUAGGUCCAGGAAUUCCUACCAUGCACCGUCCAACGCGUGCUCAUGUCGGGAAAAGUACGAGGGUACGUAAAAUAAACUUGUCGAGUGUUUGAGGAGAUUAAAAUGUGAUAUGGGAAAAAGAACGUGUGUAGAGUUCAGAUAAGAUGAAAUUGCAAUGAGAUAUGAAAAUAAACUUGUCUAUUGAUUGAGGAGGAUCAAACUACGUAUUCUUAAAUGUAUCGACCCUUAAGUUCACCUGCUUGAAAAGGCUCUCGUAGAAGAAGUUGUUGGGCUUUUCAUGGACUGCUCUGUGAUGCUAGUGACAGUUUUACAUGACCUCUGCACCCUGAACUGGAUAACCACCCAUGAAGACCCAGUUAAUCUUCGCUGUGGCCUUGGAAAAAAGUAGUAAUUGGAGCCUGAUACCUCUAAGAAUAUGGACCUGACACUGCACUGAGAUAUGAAAAUGAAUUUGUCCAGUGUUGAGGGGAUUAAGAUGUCCUCUCUGCCUAAAUUCCGACUUGCCGUUUCAGUAGAGGAAGGAGCAUGGGGGCAGAGAAGGACCACAUGACUCUGAACUACUGGACUAUCGACAUCAAUCUUUUCCGACAUGAGUACGGAUUGGAAAGGCACCUGUACCAAUCAGCGGACAGACCCUACAUAACUUAUCCUUAAAAAAAACUUCGGAGGAGAAA